GGUCACUGCCUUAGCUGUGGUGCUAAGGGGCGCAACUGCUGUGGUGUGCAGCAGACCUGGGGUGCCUAGGAGCAAAGUGCUGCCUCAGCUGUGGCACCAAGGGGAUGUGACUGCUCUGAUGUGAAGGAGGCUGGGUAGUCCUGGGGGUGGGAUGCUGCCUCAGCUGUGGCACCAGGGGUAUGACUGCUCUGGAAUUUCUAGGCUUCAAGUCACCAGAGGUGGGACAUCGCUUCUGCUCAGCCCUAAGGAGAGGGUAAACCAGCGACUAGGAUAGGGGACAAAGUCAUUCUGUGGUAGCUUGGCCCUAGUGGUCAGGUUAUAGCAUCAGCUUUGCCCCAUGAUGGCUCGCUACUGAGCGUGGUAUAGUGCUGGCUAAACCUCCAGGAUGGAGAGAUUCAGUGGCUACUCACUCCCAGAGCAGGCCACACCCUAGCAGUGGCUCAGAUUCUGAGAGGGCACAGAGUAGUAGCAGCACAGGCCACAGAGGGGUGGGGCACAGUGUCUGCUUUUUCUCUGGGCGUAGCCCAGGAUUUAGACUCCAGGGAGCUCCCUCAGUUGGGCUCAGAACCUGCGAGGAUGGCAGCGGUGUCCAGCAGUGAAGACUGAAGGUGUCCACAGCUGUGAUAGGGGCUUCUGGGUCCUCUUGCUUGCUUUUCUUCACAGGAAGAAGUCCCUCCUAGCUCCUAGGGGGUUUGAUUGUGAGCGGCAAGGGUGUGGCAGAGUAACCAAAUUCACCCUGUCUGUGGCAAACAAGCGCCACCACUACCAUCCCAGAGUGCCACCAUCUGCACUGACUUGAGGAAUUCCAGUUUGAUGAUAGCAGUUUUCACCCUAACUCUUGACCAGUAAAGAACCACCAUGGAACGCUUCAAGGAUGCUGAGUGCUUCCUUCAUGAAUUUAUUUCCACAUCUUUGAUAAAGGGCAUAUUCUGUUAACCCUCCUCGAGGACACAGGAAGGGAUUAUGCUCCAAGACACUGAAUCUGAAAGGAUGCAUCCAGUCUUGCCAAGUGGUUUCACUACCAAGGCCAGUCUCCAUCUAUGAUAGACCCAAGGAAGAUCAUUUACAACUAGAAUCUAGUCAUUUAGGAGAUUGUGUGCUCCCUGGAUGGGCCAUCUGCACUGGUGUGAGGUUUAUCUCAUUGAAGGGAAAACCAAAGGAAUCUUCUUGAAUAUCAGCACCAGGAAGAGCAGUACAAACUGGAGAAGCUGGGGAUCCAUCUGGGUUCUUGCUUUUGUGAAACUAACUACAAAGGUGAAGAACAGAAAUAUACCCUCAGGAUACAUUGGAGUGCAGGGAACAAGACUGACAAGCAGAGCUCAGAGAAAAAAUAUAAGAAGGAACAUGAAGAGCUGGAAAUGAGGAGUGAUAUCAGAAAGAUGGCAGCAUAGGAGCUUUCUACCAUCAUCCCCCAUGGAAGCAUUGAUUUUGACAACUACCACAGAUGAGUGUACAUUUGUGGGAGUCAGGGAAUACAGUGAAGAAGUUCCAGAACACCAUUAGAGAAAAAAAUCUGAGAAUAGUCACACUGAGGAGUAUAAGAAGAAGAGUUUUACUUUACCCAUGUCACUCCUCCCCCAAGGCAGCAGAGUUCAGUGCUGAAAGACACCAUCCUCAGCACACAAUUUCUCCAACAGGAAAAUAAGAGCAUACUGAGUUAGUGUCCUGCUCCCCUAGCUACACAGGAUGCUGUCCAAGAGGCCCACUAUCAUCCCACCCAGAACACUGAGGUGAUUGGCACAACCGAGUGGUUGGAAGACACCAGGAGCAGGGAGAAGAGGUCACAGAUUCUACUAAUCACUCUGCAGACUUUAUCAGGAAGCCUUCCCAUGAGCCACUUGGGAAUUUUUGACUUUUAAACACCUCCCAACUGGUCCACAGACACUCUAAACACCCCGUGGCUCACCAUCCACACCAGGCUAGCUCCCCAGCACACCUUCACAGAUAGCAAUUCAAGCAUCUUGUGCAGACAGCCAUCUGGACUCUGCAGAUUAGGAGAAGGCACUCAAACUUGAACAUUUCAGAGCACUGCCAUAGGGAAAACAAGCAGGAGGCUCUUAGCACCCAGCCUGGCUUUGCAGGAUUGAAAGAAGGCAAAAAUAUCUCAAGAAUGUGCAUAUUAGAGGGAACAAGAGAUGUGGAGCAGAUGCAGCCACAGAAAAGUUCAGAGAGAGCCUCAGAAUCACUAGCCAUGCUUUUCGGUGAAAAAAUUUCUCUCCUGAAGAUAGUCAGUAAAGACUGAAGGAGGUGACUGUUUCUUCAAAUCAAAGACAACAAUGCAAAACUUCAAGGAACACACUUAAAAAAAUCAAGUAAACAUGAAACCAACAAGGGAGCACAAUACUAUGCUAGUAACCAACCCCAAAUAAAUGAACAACUAUGAAUUGCCUGACAAAUAAUUUAAAAUAACAAUUUUGAGGAAGAUCAACAAACAGCAGGAGAACACAGAUAGGCAACUCAAUGAAAUCUGAAAAACAAACCGUGAACAAAAUUAUAAGUUCAAUAAAGAAAAAUUAUUUUUUUAAAAAAUUCUGAAGCUAAGAAUACAAUGAAUGAAUUAAAGAAGGCAAUAGAGUAUGUCAACAGCAGACUUCAUAAAGCAGAAGAAAAUCUAUGAAAUUAAAGAAAGAUCAUUUGAAAAUAUCCAAUCAGGGGAGAAAAAAGAAUGAAAAGGAAUGAAGAAUAUCUAUGGGAUUUAUUGAUGGUGUUAUCAGGAGAGCUAAUAUUUGCAUUAUAAUAUACCAGAAGGAAGGGAGAGAGAAAAAGGAGCACAAGCUUAUUUAAAGAAACAAUGGCUGAAAACUUUCUAAAUCUGGAGGGAAAUAUGGACAUUUAGGUAUAUGAAGUUCAAAAGUCUACAAUCAGAUUCAACCCAAGAAAGACUUCACCAAGACAUAAUAUAAUCAAACAGUCAAAAUCAAAGACAAAGAGAAAAUUGUGAAAGCAGCAAGAAAAAAGAGGUUUCUCACAUAUAAGAGAACCACCAUAAGACUAUGACCAGAUUUCUCAGUAGAAACUUUGCAAGCCUGGAGGGUGUGAGAUGAUAUAGCCUAAGUGCUGAAAGAAAAAAUAAAUAAAUAAAUGAACUGUCAACUAAGAAAACUUUAACCAGCAAAUCUGUUUUAUAAAAACGAAAGAAAGAAAAAGACUUUCCUAGACAAAGCUGAGAGAGUUCAUCACCACUAAACCUAACAAGAAAUGCUAAAGGGAGAUUUUCAAGCUGAAAUAAAAGGAUACUAAUUAAAAUAUGAGAGUAUACAACUCACUGGUAAAAGUCAUUGUUGAGAGACAAAAUGAGAUCAUGUCUGGGAAAAUACUUCUAAAUUAUCAACUCCCUUUCUAUGGAAGAGGAUGACCAAAGAAGGAUGCACUCCUUGUCUGGAAUUAUGCCAGAGGUCUUAAAAUGCUCAGAAAUGAAAUCAGCCUUCUUCCCUGUCCUAAGAGGCUCAGGUUUUCGGCAAGUAACUCAUAAAAUUAAUGCUCCACUGAAAAUAAAAUCUGAUUUGAGUAGUAUCAGCACUUAGAAGACCUUUGGAGGCCGGGGGUAUUUUCUCUUUUACAAUGCUGUGAACAACAUUCACUCCUGGAAAACACUCCAAUGUCUUACAUCUUGAGGCUGUGGGGAUUUUUUUUUCUUUUGGUUUAAAUGUUGCCUUUCCUAUCUUUCUGCAUAUCAAUUUUUCCCCUGCCCAAGUCACAGGCUUGGUAGUAACCAUCAUGUUUACUGCUGUUCCUUCACAUGUGGUUCUCUGAGGCUUCUGAGCACCAGAAUUUUAUUAAACAGAGCUACUCACACCAUAAAGAUGGAAUUCUGCCAGAUCUGAAUCAUAGAAUAACACCAGAAUUGACUUCAGAAAUCAUCUUCUCUAAAGAUUUGCAAGAUUUUUAAACAGCACAUGCCUUUGUAAAAUGAAAUCAUCAGUGGAACACCGUAUAUAAAAUAAAAUUAAUAAAAACUACUAUGGCUGGAGAGGUGAAACUCUAACAUAUUACACAGUCUCCUGGGUUUUUUUGCAGAUAUUAAGGAUCCACUGAACCAUUUGAAAACUACCCUAUAUACUCCCCCUUUCCAGUGCUUCAGUCCCUUCUAUAGUAAUCACCACUGGAUUGUUCAGUCUUUCAAUAUUUUCAGUGGUGCCUAUCCUCCCAAGAAAGGCCAUCUUAAUUUGGGACAGCUUUAACUGUCUAUUUGGAAAAUCAUUCUUAUAUUUUAAUGGUCUCCUUGUAACCUCUAUUUAUUGUUACUAGAACAGAACUAGACUGUGCUCUAUUCCAUCUAAGUAUUGGGGUCAAUGAUCAUAUUCCUCCACAAACUUAUAGUUUUUUUACAAACUAAAUAUCCCCUGAUUUUUUCAACUUUAUCACAGUGUGAGAAUAUGUGGGCCUAAUCUCUUUAUUCUAAUUUCUUUCCUUUGAACUUGCUUCACUUUGUCAAUGUCAGUUUUAAUUUGUGUGCCUAGAACUGUAAAAAGUAAUCCCUAUGUUGACUGUAAUCAUCAACUCUUUCACUUUGAACAUUCUACCCCUGUUAAUUUGGCCUAUAAUUGAAUUUGAUUUGGGGAAAACUUGUCGGAGCUUAGCCAACUAAAUCCCCAAUAUCAUCCUUGAAUAUGCUACUGCAGAACCAAAUCUCCCAUAUUACAAACUUUUAAAAUUGUUUUAAUGACUUCAUGUGGUCAUUUUCCUUUGCCAUGGCUUUUAAAGUCACAUGGUUCUAUUAGAAAGAUUUCUAGGUCUCUUGUCAUUUCUAGAAUCUGGUUUGUUGGAUUUGGCAAAUCAAUAUCUGUAUAUUUGUUCACUUUUUAUUCUGUCAAUCGCAAACAUGCCAUCUGCUUAAUAAUUUCCCACAGAUCUUUAUUGAUAUAUAUUUUGUUGGGAAAGAAUUUAUCAUUUUAGAUCCAGAAUAUGUAAUCAUAGCUGUCCAUUUAUAUCUGACCAUAAAGAACUUUCCUACUAUAGAAUUUUUGAGAUUUGGUGAGGGCUAACUAGAAGGCUGAAAGGAUAGGAAAGCUGCUGAGUUUAUUUGGUUACACACCAAUGGUCCUGUAAGUCUGUAAUUUCAAAAAUCUACCCGAAAACAAGGGAUUGUAUCCACUGUUAAAUGGAUGAAGUUUUAAGCAUCAGAAAAUCAGUCUGAAUUUUCAUUAUUCCCUAGAAAUUUUCUCAACUUUGUGAGUUUCAUCCAGGUACUUUGCCGUUCUUGAACAUAUUUUCAUGUGGUUUUAUAAUAUUUAUUCAACAUUAUUUUCCAUUAGUUCUCUAAUUUUAAUUGUUGGUAAGCAUUUCGAUGUGUAGCUAUUACAUGGUGCAGAACUGAUUUAUCCACGUUAAUGUCUGAGGAGACCAUGACCCAUUUUAUCUGCUGCGUGGUCAGCCCUGGUAUUCAUGGCAGGUUGUCUGAAUAUUUCUGAUGAAGUCUUUAAGUACAUGUAAUUCUGAAAACACAUUCCCAUUCAGUAAGACUUAUACAGGAUGGUAAGCCUAACAUGGCAAAAGGUUUCUAAAAAAUUCCAUAAACAUUAAGCAUAUUUAUGUCAUAGCAUUAAGUUUGGUCAAUUUGAAACUUACCGUAUUGUAGUAUAAGAGGCAUUUUGUUUGCUUGUGUUUACUUUCCCAG
rnacentral:lncRNA from 1 species